AACGAACGCUGGCGGCAUGCCUAACACAUGCAAGUCGAACGAAGGCUUCGGCCUUAGUGGCGCACGGGUGAGUAACGCGUGGGAAACUGCCUAUUGGUGGGGAAUAACGACGGGAAACUGUCGCUAAUACCGCAUAAGCCCUUCGGGGGAAAGAUUUAUCGCCGAUAGAUGUGCCCGCGUCCGAUUAGCUAGUUGGUGAGGUAAUGGCUCACCAAGGCGACGAUCGGUAGCUGGUCUGAGAGGAUGAUCAGCCACACUGGGACUGAGACACGGCCCAGACUCCUACGGGAGGCAGCAGUGGGGAAUAUUGGACAAUGGGCGAAAGCCUGAACCAGCAAUGCCGCGUGAGUGAUGAAGGCCUUAGGGUUGUAAAGCUCUUUCGGGUGGGACGAUGAUGACGGUACCACCAGAAGAAGCCCCGGCUAACUUCGUGCCAGCAGCCGCGGUAA
rnacentral:rRNA from 1 species